CUCGACAAGGGGAUAUCUCGGCUCUCGCAUUCGAUGAAGAACCGUAAGUCGAAAUGCUAUACUUGGGUGGUGAAUUUACAGAAUCCUUGAACCUUUGAGUUUUUGACCGCAAGUUGCGCCCAAAGCCUUCUGGCCAAGGGCACGUGUUCUUAGGGGUCACG
rnacentral:rRNA from 1 species